GAAAAAGUCAGUGAACAAAAGAGUUAGAGUUCUGAAGUUGUUUUGGUGAAGAAUCAGAUAAAGGCGAAGGGAUCGAAGAAACAUUUGAAGAGGCUUGACGCCCCUAAGCAUUGGAGGCUUGAUAAAUUGGGUGGUGCUUUUGGGCUUAUCCUUGCUGUUUGGUUGGGUACUGAACUGAGGGUUCAAAUCCUAUUGUGUUUG